AUUUGGCUGGAGGGGGCAUGAGCAGGGUGGUUAAUUGAAUGCUUGGCAAAGGGCAGCAAGAAGUAAACUGUGGAGAAAGCGAGACCCAGGAGAGCUUAGAGAAUGUGGUUGUUUGAGGCCUUUGCCCAAUGCAAGAAGGGCACCACCUCCAUUUCUGAAUAGAAAUAAAACCUAAAAAAAAAAAAAAAAAAGGAAGAAAGGAAAGAAAAAGGGCAUGACACCAUUCUGAAAUUCAGAGGCAACUCCUGCUUUAGGACAGGCCCCCCAGCGCCCCAUUUUCUCCCUCUGGGGUCCAUGGUUACCCAUAGAUGACCAGGGUACCAUUUGGCCCUGUAGGGAAAGGAGAUGCAAGGGCAGGGACACGUCUGUCCCGGACCCACCCACCCUGAGCUAGGCCUUGCAUUUCCCAGCAGGCAUGCUGGCUGGCAGCUGCCGCCUGGUUCCUGCAGACCCAGUGGAAGGGAAAGAGAAGCAGCACCACUUGCAAUCCGGUUUUGCCUGGGUCCAAGGCCAGCCCAGGCCAGACAGGGACUCUGCCUGUCCACCUGCCUGUUUGGCUGUCUGUGCCCCAGACUUUGAGAGCCUGCGAAGCAUGAUGUUCGAGCUUCAGAUCUCAGCUCUUGGAUGACCUCUGGCAGGCUGGCCCUGAGGAUGGAAGCUGCCGUGCUUUCAUGGAUUUGGGUUUGGUGGAAAAAGAAAAGAAAGCGUCAACUUAUGGGCCUUUACUUGGAAGCUGAUGGGUACCUUUGGAAAUGUCUGGAUACCUGGUCACACACAGAUGCGCACACUGGAGGGGGCACGAGAAAGGCUUAGAGUUGCACACGUCCAUGGUCGUAGCACUGCUGCCUUCUCUACCAUGUCCUCCGCCGUGGGCUACAGGAUGAAGGGCUUGGCUUCCAACAGGCUGUGAGGCUGUGAGGACUGGGGCUUGGGGUCAGUGAAGGUGUUGCCUGGUUCGGUUUCCAUAAAUUUACCCAAGACAGAUCUACCCUGGAGAACUACUGUAACCCAUACCCUCUGUUAUUGUAGCUUUCAAAUAGAAGGCUACUGAGGGCAAAUAUUUAAAAGCCCAGAGAGGUCAUCUAUAUGCUUCCUGUAUUUAGGAAGUGUAAGAGUUAUAGAACUGCCUUUCUCCUUGGCUCACUGAAUGGAGUUGACAGUGAUGUUGGUGGGACUGAUGUAUUUGGGUAUUUGGGUCUUUAAAUAUUAUAUUUUAUUAUAAUCUCUGCUAUACACAUAUAUCUGUUUAUAAAAUAUGUAUUUCUCUCUGUGUACCCAGGAAGGAUGAAUACACGGAAAUGUGAGUAAACAGAAAGUUCAAGAGAAAGAGGAACUGUCCCUAAAACAGGAAGGACAGAGCUACUCUGGGAUUACAACAAACAGGCAGGAAAAGAGGACAAUACAUCUGUGUUUUGCAAGCUGGUGAACUCACUUAACGUUCUGAGAGGAGAGCUGACAGGGCGGUCUCUCUCCUCUUUACCCUGACAUUGCAUGUUUGGAGAACACUGCUAACUAUUGCUGAAGAUAUGCGAGAAGUAAUAAAAUGACCAACACUCA